rnacentral:rRNA from 1 species
GAUGAACGCUGGCGGCGUGCCUAAUACAUGCAAGUCGAGCGAACAGACGAGGAGCUUGCUCCUCUGACGUUAGCGGCGGACGGGUGAGUAACACGUGGAUAACCUACCUAUAAGACUGGGAUAACUUCGGGAAACCGGAGCUAAUACCGGAUAAUCUAUUGAACCGCAUGGUUCAAUAGUGAAAGACGGUUUUGCUGUCACUUAUAGAUGGAUCCGCGCCGCAUUAGCUAGUUGGUAAGGUAACGGCUUACCAAGGCAACGAUGCGUAGCCGACCUGAGAGGGUGAUCGGCCACACUGGAACUGAGACACGGUCCAGACUCCUACGGGAGGCAGCAGUAGGGAAUCUGCCGCAAUGGGCGAAAGCCUGACGGAGCAACGCCGCGUGAGUGAUGAAGGUCUUCGGAUCGUAAAACUCUGUUAUUAGGGAAGAACAAAUGUGUAAGUAACUAUGCACGUCUUGACGGUACCUAAUCAGAAAGCCACGGCUAACUACGUG